UUGUUUUUCUAAUUUGUGAUAACUAGGAUGCAUUCCUUCUGCAAAUCUUCUGAUAGAAUAUAACUGCAUAUGAUUUCUUCCCAAUUGACAUCCAUGAACAGACAAUGUCUAUGUUCAGGAGAGAUCUUGGAAUCGAUKUAAUGCAAGACUCUUUUUGAUGUGUGUAUUACAGUUGCACACAUGCGUAGUGUUCGGAAAGUCAUAUAAACUGCAUUGAAUAAAGGAAUUCUGACAGAUGACAACGUGUCAGUCUGAAGGUGAAUCUCGAAGAGGACACUACUCCGAUCUUAUAAUUCAAGCUUUUAGACAUCAAUAAUUAUUCUCAUCGAUUAAUUAACAAUAAUUUAUGCAUUUUAAUACACUUAUUAUACAAUACAGGACAAUUUAACCCUCGAAGUCAUCACUGUGUAGGAGCGAUAAAAUAAUUACAUUAGAAUAAAAAUAAUGUUAAAAUUAGAACGAUAUAAGCUUAAAUUCUCUUCAUUAGAAAUAUUAUAAUCAUUCCACACAUGCUCAACAUUCGGAAAGUUAUCUAAACAACAUUCAAUAAACGAAUUUGCAUAGAGGACAACGUGCCAGUCAGAAGGACAAGUUAACCCUGGAAGUCAGCACUGCGUAAGAGCGAUAAAAUAACAACAUUAGAAUGAAAAAAAUGGUAAAAUUAGAACGAUAUAAGCUUAAAUUCUCUUUAUUAGAAAUAUUAUAACCGUUGCACACAUGUGCA